rnacentral:rRNA from 1 species
UGCGUAGAUGGCUGAUUAAGUCGGAUGUGAAAGCCCCGGGCUCAACCUGGGAAUGGCAUCCGAUACUGGUUGGCUAGAGUGCGGUAGAGGAGAGCGGAAUUCCCGGUGUAGCGGUGAAAUGCGUAGAGAUCGGGAGGAACAUCCGUGGCGAAGGCGGCUCUCUGGACCAGCACUGACGUUGAGGCACGAAAGCGUGGGGAGCAAACAGGAUUAGAUACCCUGGUAGUCCACGCCCUAAACGAUGUCGACUGGAUGUUGGGCACACUUUGGUGCUCAGUAUCGAAGCUAACGCGUUAAGUCGACCGCCUGGGGAGUAUGCGCGCAAGCGUGAA